GCCACUUCCUCUCGGCCCCAUAUUGAACUCGAGUUGGAAGAGGCGAGUCCAGUCUCAAA
ensembl:miRNA Gm22180 predicted gene, 22180